rnacentral:rRNA from 1 species
UAGGGAAUCUUCCACAAUGGGCGAAAGCCUGAUGGAGCAACGCCGCGUGUGUGAUGAAGGGUUUCGGCUCGUAAAACUACUGUUGUAAGAGAAGAAUGACAUUGAGAGUAACUGUUCAAUGUGUGACGGUAUCUUACCAGAAAGGAACGGCUAAAUACGUUCCAG